GGGAGAGACCCUGUAAUGCUAUACAGGGCGCCGAAGGCGCAACCGCCCGGAAACGCUCAGGCAAAAGGACCGCAGA
rnacentral:ncRNA from 1 species